AGCAGGAGGAUCCGGUGUCCGCCUACUUUGUUCCUCUGAUGAACGUUGAGGUGUAAAUGAGCCUCCUUGACAAAGGGCUGAACUAAAUCUCUCUUUACAGGAACAGAACUCAAGCCGUCAGAGAGGAAGUUCAAAAGGAGCCUGAUGACGAGCAGCUGUGUGCAAACGUCUCCGAGCUUCUUUGAAUCAGAGGCCAGCUGUUAGUUUAUUGUGAAGCAGAACACCGGUUGUUGCAGCGUGGGGUCGGAGACUCCGUCAUGUCUCUCUUUGUGAUACUCGGGCUGCUCGUCUGCAUUCAGGCUCAAGGAACCAUUGUGACUCCUGUGUUUGUGCUGAAGGGACGUGAUCUGCUCAUCAAGCUUCAUGCUGAUCCUCCUGAGGGGGUUUUAUAUGUUGACUGGAAAUUCAAUGAAAACGUCACUUUAGUAAGAAUUCCACUUAUUGGGGAACCAAAUGUCCUUCAUAAUGUCACUGGAAGGUUUGAGUUUCCUGAGAAUAAAUUCUCUGUGAGAUUGAAGAAUGUACAAGAGGUCGACAGUGGAGUUUAUUCUGCUGAAGCAGGAACACUUCAAAGAGACAAACUAGCUGAAUACAAGGUCACAGUUCAAGGACCAGUGUCUCCAGUUGAACUGAUCGUGGACCGAGUGGACUCCAGCAGCU